UACGGGGGGGGCAAGCGUUGUCCGGAUUUACUGGGCGUAAAGAGCGCGCAGGCGGUCGUGCAAGUCGCGUGUGAAAGCCCCCCGGCUCAACUGGGGAGGGUCACGCGAUACUGCUCGACUCGAAGGCAGGAGAGGGAAGUGGAAUUCCCGGUGUAGUGGUGAAAUGCGUAGAUAUCGGGAGGAACACCAGUGGCGAAGGCGACUUCCUGGCCUGUUCUUGACGCUGAGGCGCGAAAGCUAGGGUAGCAAACGGG
rnacentral:rRNA from 1 species